rnacentral:misc_RNA from 1 species
GAAUUGCGAAAUGUAAUGUGAAUUGCAUUUACCGCGAAUCAUUAAAUCUUUGAAUGCACUUUGCACUGCUGUGAAUUCACGGCAGUACGCCUGUUUGAGCAUCAAUCAAAUUUCUCACUUUUAUAUAGUGAUUGUGAAGUACUGGAUACAGUACUUUUGAGUUUACACAAACUGUUCGUGUUGAUACAACAGUUGGCAAUAUCUAUAUCGAUCUUGUCAACUCUAAUCAACCGUACGCGUGUUUAUUGAGCUCUGACUGCUCUCUCAUUACAUUGAUCUCAAAUCAGGCGAGAAUACCCGCUGAACUUAA